rnacentral:rRNA from 1 species
ACACCGGCAGCUCUAGUGGGAGCUGUUUUUAUUGGGCCUAAAGCGUUCGUAGCCGGUUUGGUAAGUCACUGGUGAAAUCCUGUAGCUUAAAUAUGGGAAUUGCUGGUGAUACUGUUGAACUUGAGGUCGGGAGAGGUUAGCGGUACUCCCAGGGGAGAGGGGAAAUUAUGUAAUCCUGGGAGGACCACCUGUGGCGAAGGCGGCUAACUGGAACGAACCUGACGGUGAGGGACGAAAGCUAGGGGCGCGAACCGGAUUAGAUACCCGGGUAGUCCUAGCCGUAAACGAUGCGGACUUGGUGUUGGGAUGGCUUUGAGCCGCUCCGGUGCCGAAGGGAAGCUGUUAAGUCCGCCGCCUGGGAAGUACGGUCGCAAGACUGAAACUUAAAGGAAUUGGCGGGG